AAAAGGGAAAUAGCGAGUAUCGGGGCUACGCUUCCCAAAGCUUAUAGGAUCACAGAAAGAAGAAAAAUAUACAUAUAAAAAAAAAUUAGACGAGAACAAGAAGGUCCAAAAGGGCAUGAGAAGAGGGAACGGACGAUCCGAAGAAGACCCACCACCCCCUUCUCUUGUCCACCAACCAGGAUCCUUCUCCCUCUGCGACCGGCGUGCGGGAUUCCACCGGUGCGCCUACCACCCUAUUCUAGGAUGCAACUACUCUCAUCCUUCUUCGCUCUCCUCCUUUUGCUCUGCUCUCUCUAAAUAGCGACUGGGAAGAGGGAAAGAAGAGAGAAGACAUCGGUGUUGAAGAUCAAUCAUGGCCGUUGGUGAGAACACGGGCGGCGUCGAUCUCGGGGCAAAUGCGGGGUCUUCCAGCCGGGAUUUCGACGCCGGCGGAGCGUCGGAGUCGAACGGCCCUAAGGAUCUGGACGCCCGCCAGCCAGUGGUCCGGAUGGUAGAGCCCGCCGGCGGCAUGCCCGUCCUCCGUCCCCACCACGACACCGCUGCCGCCUCCGCCGCCUACCACAUGAGGGUCCAGCAGCUCCACCAGCAGCACCGCGCGGCCGGUGGCAUCGGCGGCAUUCUGGAGAAGGGCUUGGCGAGGGCCGAAGGUGGGGUGGUGGUGGCGCAGCGGGCCGACGGGGUUGUCAUCGGAAGGAAGGGGGACGCGGCGGCGGCGGCGGCGGCCGCCAGCGGUGGCGAAGGGUUUAAGCGGGAAAUGAGGGAUUUGGAGGAGCUCCUCUCGAAGCUGAACCCGAUGGCGGCGGAGUUCGUGCCCCCGUCGCUCGCCAACCAUAGACACGCCGCCGCCACCGGUGGCGGAGUUGGCGGCGUGGACGCUGGGUUUGACUCUAAUGGCUUUGGAGCGCAUCACGCUGUGGCUAAUGGCGGUGGUAGAAGGCGGAAGAACGGGUAUGGCCAGGGAAAGCGCCGAAUGAACAGCAGGACGAGUUUGGCACAGCGAGAGGAAGUGAUAAAGAGAACGGUUUAUGUUUCUUAUAUCGAUCAUCAGGUUACUGAAGAACAGCUUGCAGGACUAUUCAUUAACUGUGGACAGGUUGUUGACUGCCGUAUGUGUGGGGACCCAAACUCUGUUCUUCGUUUUGCUUUCGUAGAGUUCACUGAUGAGGAAGGUGCAAGUGCUGCUUUAAAUUUGUCAGGAACUGUGCUUGGAUAUUACCCAGUGAGGGUGCUUCCUUCCAAGACUGCAAUUGCGCCUGUUAACCCGACAUUUUUGCCCAGGUCCAAUGAUGAACGUGAGAUGUGUGCACGGACUGUUUAUUGUACAAAUAUUGACAAGAAGCUUUCUGCAGGUUUCGCAGGCAGAAGUUAAACUCUUCUUUGAGUCCCUAUGUGGCGAGGUCUAUCGCUUGAGAUUGCUUGGAGACUAUCAUCAUUCGACUCGCAUUGCGUUUGUCGAGUUUGUGAUGGAAAAAAAGGAUUCAAGGAAACUGAAAGUCUACAGCUUGUAUCAGCAUGCAUGCUGAGAGUGCAACUACUGCCCUCAACUGUAGUGGCGCGAUACUGGGAUCCUUGCCUAUAAGGAUAAGUCCCUCGAAGACUCCUGUGUGGCCACGUGCUCCUCGUCAACCCAUGAAUUGAAACUUUUAGGUCCAUGACAUGGCUGGUAGAACUCUUAUACGCACACACAGAGUAUACAGGGAUAUUAAGGUAUAUCUCUUUGGAUUAUAACUUAUUUUUAUGUAGUUUCUGAAUGUUAUGUACCUUUGACAAAUCUUUAUAUGAAUGGUGGGGUGGCUCGUUCUUUUCUGGCACAUAGAGUUGGUUGGGACAUUGGGGCUUUUGACAGUUUAUCAGUAGAUAAUGGACAAAUGUCCUUAACGUAUCCAUGAAAGAAACUGUAUCAAUUGUGUGGAAAUCUUGCUCUAUAACCCUCGAAGUCUUGCUGAAAGAAGCUGUUCUAAUUGCCUUAAAGUGUUCUAAUCGGUUGCACCUAUUGGUUAUUAUUUUUAAAAGAUUGCUUCCUUCUGCACUGACUGGCUGUAACAAGGGGGUGGUUUGCUUUGAAGUUCAACUUUUCCUGGGUAAAUUUUUAUUGAUCUGAUGAAUACUUGCUUCUGGAUUAAUUAUGUAUAACCUCGUUCAAACUUAGGGACAGUGUGUGACGGGAUGUUGUUACUGAUCAUUGAUCGCUACUGUAAUGAAUAGGCCGUUCUUAUGUAUUUCAUGUUAUCAAUGCUUAAUGUUGA